UUGCCCGGUCCGGCACCAAAUUUCUUUUUUUAAAAUCUUGUCGCAGGGUUCCAAAUGUCUCGGAGGGGUUGAGAGCGGGGUGGAGAAAGGAGUGGGACUGAUGACCGAGCGCGAACCCGUGAUCGGCUCCAAUUAUCGACCAACUUCUCGAUUAAAGCGUCGCACAAGAUUUAAAUCAACGAGUGGGAUGGAAGACGUGCCCUCUAAAUCUUUGAACCAGUUUCCCGCUCCCUCGCACUCGCUGCUGCCGGAGUAAGGUGCAGGAGUCUUGGGUCUUAGGCAAGGUUUGAUCAACGCAGUUUGUGGAUUGAACUCGUUUUUAGAAGACUGCAGUUUAUGUUACCGGCUGUGUGGAAAACAUCAUGUGUGAUCCCAGUACCUAAGAAGGGCCAGCCGAAAGUCUUGAAUGACUUCCGUCCAGUGCUCCUAGAAGACCCUAGAGAGGCUGGUCCUGGCUCACCUGGUCAGAUCAGCCCUCGAUCCCCUGCAGUUUGCCUACCAGCAGCACAUUGGAGUUGGCUAUGCUGUCAUCUACAUGCUGAACAGACCCUACUCCCAUUUAGAUAAACAAGGCAGCUCUGUGAGGAUCGUGUUUUUUUGGGUUCCCAAGUGCCUUUAAUACAGUACAGCCCUCAUUGCUGGGGGAGUGGCUCCAUUCGAUGCAUGUUGGCACUUCCAUUGUAUCCUGGAUAAUGUACAACCUAACUGUCAGACCACAAUUUGUGCAGCUUCAGAGCUGUGUGUCAGACAUGGCUAUAAGCAGCACCAUCGGCUCCCUUUCUGUUUACCCUGUAUAACUUGGACUUUAAAUACAACACUGAGCCAUGUCAUCUCCAUAAAUUCUCUGAUGACUGGGUGUAUAAAGGGAGGAGGGGAGUUUGAAUACAGGACCCUGGUGGAGGACUUUGUUAAAUGGUGCAAACUGAAUCAUCUGCAGCUCAACAUCAGUGAGACAAAGGAGAUGUGAUGGACUUUAAGACUAAACCUGCACUGCUCCCUGUUACGAUUGUUGGUGAGGACCUACAAGUACCUGGGGGUGCACCUGGAAGACAGACUUGAGUGGAGCACCAACACAGAGGCUGUGUAUGUGGUGGUGUGCUGGGGCAAUGGCAUCAACACGGGUGAUGCCAGCAGAUUCAAUAAACUGAUUAGAAAGGCUGGCUCUGUUAUAGGAGUCAAACUGGACACACUGGAGGCUGUGGUAGAACAAAGGACCCUAGGGAAAAUCCUGGCAAUUCUGGACAAUGUUUCUCAUCCUCUGCUUGCCCCCUUGACUGAACAGAGAGCACUUUUAAUAAUAGAGCUCUGCUCCAAAGAGUGUUAUAUGAGGUCGCUCUUACCCUUGGCCUUUAGGCUCCAGAGUCAACCUAGAGCUGGGGAAAUUAUUUCCUCCUGUUGGGCUGUUUGUGAGCAUUUGAUGUUUCCUCUCAAUGCGUUUCUUGGUGCUUCUUUGUUUUGUGGCCAUCUGUGGAAAGAUGAAUCUCAGGAUUGUGUACUGCAUACAUUGUUCGGUAAUAAAUGUCCUCUGAAUCAUUGAAAUACAUUUAAUCAGUAACAUUGGGACCUUGAUGAGGCAUCACUAAAAUCACCAGGUUCUUUUUGUUACUCUGCAGGGUAAUACAUUUCAUAGUGAACUCCAAGUUUAAAGGCAGCACAGAAAUCCCUAGUAAGUUUAAACAGGAAUGUGGGAAGCACAACCAGGUAGAUUUCCAGGGAGUGAAGCUAACAGUUUUAAAAAAAAGACAACACAGUAGUGCAGCAGUUAGCAUGAUGUAUUACAGUGCCAGCAACUAUUGUAGGUUAGUUGGAAAUAGGUAAUCCAAAUGUGUGUUGGGGCAGCUUGCAAGUGUUGCCUUGCUCCUGGCACCAACACAGGAUGCUCCCAAUUUAUUAACCCUAACCACCUACAUCUUUGAAAUGUGGGAGGAAACUGGAGCACCUGGAGGAAACCCAUGCAGCCAAGGGAAGAAUGCAUGAACUUCUGACAGUCAUCAGUGGUCACGGAACCCUAAUUGCUGAGUGCUGGUGUUGUAAUAGUGUUACACUGACCACUAUGCUACUGUGGAAAAUUACUGGAAAAUUACAUCUUAGAAAAGGGUAAGUUUUUGAGAGGAUACAAAAGAAAAUGCACAGAGGUGUGGUGCAAGUCAUGGGAAGGUUAAGGGAAACAAGGGCCAUUCGUGUCAAGCAUAUGCAGAACAAACUCAGCAAGAACUAGUCGUUAGCAUCAACUUGUGUUUCUUUCCACAGACGCUGCCUGACCUGUUGAGCCUUUGCUGUAAAUCUUUCAAUCUUCUAAGGAAAGAUGGUGGUGUCUGUCCAGAAAUGUAAAACGAGACAAUAUUCUGAAAAUAUAAUCUGCAAGAUAUUGUAAAAUAUUGAUUUUAAUUACUCACAAUGUAUUUAGUCUUAUUGAUUUCUGCUCAUGUUCCAGUUGAUUUAUCCUUAAAUUAUUACAUUUUAGAAAAAAAAGUGUAGAAACUUUUCCUCUUGAAAUGUGUGUUACAUCUGCAUUGUCUGGGUAGUUUCCAGCAACAAAAUUUCAAUAUACUGCACAGUAACAGGCCCUUCUGGCUGGAAAAAAAACCCACGCUGCCCCACACCACCCAUGCAACCAAUUAACCUAACCUGUACAUCUUUGGAAUGUGGGAGGAAACCAGAGCAUCCGGAGGAAUUCUUUAUUGACAGUGGCAGGAAUUGAACUUGGGUUGCUGGUACUGCAAAAGCUCUACGCCAACUCCUUCACCUUCACAUCCUGACCGACAGCCAACUACUAGCAGACAGUAAUGUGAAGAACUCUAAGAGGUGGACCAUAAAAGCAUAAAAACAGUCAAAGCAUAAAAGCAU